rnacentral:rRNA from 1 species
GACGAACCGUGCGAACGUUGUUCGGAAUCACUGGGCUUAAAAGGGCGCGUAGGCGGCUUGCCAAGUCAGUGGUGAAAUCCUGCAGCUUAACUGCAGAAGUGCCUUUGAUACUGGCGAGCUCGAGGGAGGUAGGGGUAUGUGGAACUUCUGGUGAAGCGGUGAAAUGCGUUGAUAUCAGAAGGAACGCCGGUGGCGAAAGCGACGUACUGGACCUCUUCUGACGCUGAGGCGCGAAAGCUAGGGGAGCAAACGGG